rnacentral:rRNA from 1 species
UACAGAGGGGGCAAGCGUUAUUCGGAAUUAUUGGGCGUAAAGGGCGCGUAGGCGGCCUGGCAAGUGGAUGGUGAAAUCCCUCGGCUUAACCGAGGAACUGCCGUCCAAACUGCUUGGCUUGAGUCCGGGAGAGGUGAGUGGAAUUCCCAGUGUAGCGGUGAAAUGCGUAGAUAUUGGGAGGAACACCGGUGGCGAAGGCGGCCCCCUGGACCGGUACUGACGCUGAGGCGCGAAAGCGUGGGUAGCAAACGGG